GUACCAACAUCUGAUGAGCUGCUCCUUGCUUUCACAAUGGCGACUUGAAUGCCAUGUUCUCCUGUGGGGAAUGCUGUGUCCUCACACGGCAGAAGAUGGAAGGGUAGCCGGGUUCCUGCCCACUGCUCACAGGACCAGCUUUGUCUCAGGACACAGAGGCUCUAUUGGCCAGUGGAGCUAUAAAGACAUGAAGUCCUUCUAUCAAGGAAGCCAGAAGCAUGAAUGAGUGACCUCCAUUUUUGUGGUACAGAAACCAAGUCUUGCAGAAAAAGUGGAACAGACAAAUACAGGGAAACCAAGAAAGAGCUGAACAGAGGAAAUGCCUUUUAAGUCUUCUAA
rnacentral:lncRNA from 10 species